rnacentral:lncRNA from 1 species
AGGUAUUUAAACGCGUGGGAAGCGACGGAUUGAGCAUUCGUCGAGCGGGUGUAAGGAUACCGGCAAAAUAAGGCCGAGCGAGCUUCGUUUCGACCAAGAGGGCCGAGGAGGCAUCCAUAAAUCGCGGGAUCAGAUUCCGAAUAUCGUAGCAAGAAAUCGAAGACCUUUAAUUUUCGGAUCGCGGAUCGUAGGUCGUUCGGUUGUCGCGCGUGAGUUUGGUCGAGCCGAGCGGCGGGCGCCGCGGGCGGCCGAUUGCAAGUGACUACGAGCAAUCGGAGAGUAAGUAAAGGUGGGUUGUGUUUACCGAAGCGACUAGGUUG